rnacentral:lncRNA from 1 species
UCCUUAAUUAUGUGGCUUAUUUCUAUUUGUGUUCUUCAACCUGAAUGAUAUUAGUGUUUUGGCUUAUACACAAAGGCAACGGGAAAAUUGAGGUAAUUACGUGGGUAAUUUGAGCAGAAUGGACCACCCACUCUGACCUCAAUUAUCUGGUUAUUUUAGGUGGAAGUAGCUUCAAACCCGAAGAACUGGAAUAAUUGCCUCACCUCUCCAUUUAGUUUUAGCUGUGGCCAGAUGCAGAGACGCUUCCCCUCUGAGGCUGUGCGAACUACCGCAGACAACACAUAGGCACUCAAUGCAGGAUGGGGUCCCCCAGUCCAUGGCUGCCUUUCCAGUUCAGUAACAACAAUCUCACCCUAUGCAUGAGGCCCCCUCCCCUGCCUGUCACCUGGACACUUCUCACAUAGGGUCACUGUGGCAUCUGAAACAAGGCGUUACAGCCAUGCAACAGUUAUCAUUGGAGAACUGAGAACAGUAAACGAUGUUUCAUCCACUAACAAUUCCUUUUAUUAAGGUAAGGGGUCAUCAUCCGUAUUUAUAUCUGACUCAGGGAGUGGGAGCAAUGUUUUAAAAGCAGUAUUCUUCUUUUUACCAUGGCCAUUUACUCCUGAAACAACACGACAUACAGUUCUGCACUGUCCAGCCACUCAUGGCUAUUGGACAUUGAAACUAUGGCUUUUCCAAGAUGAAAUGUAGCGUAAAUGUAAUACACAUUCUCAACUAAAGAGUUAGUAAGAAACAAUGUAAAAUAUCUCACUGAAAUUUGUGUGAUGACUUCAUGUUCGAAAUAGUAGUUUGGAUUUAUUAUUUAAAAUUUUUAAAAAAAAGUCAAAGUUAAUUUCAUCU